rnacentral:tRNA from 2 species
GCCUCCGUGGCGCAAUCGGCUAGCGCGUUCGGCUGUUAACCGAAAGGUUGGUGGUUCGAGCCCACCCGGGUGCG